AUACAUUCAUGUAUUCAUGGUUUGAAAAUAACCAUUUUUUAUAAUGACAUAUUUUAAGGUCAGUACCAUUUUGAAAUAAAAAAAACACAGAGAAUGAAAUAGUGAUGUCAAAAGACAUGAAUUUUGUGAGUUGAAAGACAAUGAAAAAAAUGCAGUUUAGUUAUUCAUCCAAAUUUUAUAAUUAUACCAAAGAACUUCAUGAAAUCCAACUACUAUUUCAAAAUAGAAAAUACGUACAUGUAAGUGAAUAUUGUGUUUUCAUGAAUUAGAUUAGAUUUUAUACUGUCACUAUUU
rnacentral:lncRNA from 1 species